rnacentral:rRNA from 1 species
UGAGCAAUCUGCCCUUCACAUCGGAAUAACCAUUGGAAACGAUGGCUAAUACCGAAUAUGACUUCGGAUCGCAUGAUCUAAAGUGGAAAGCUCCGGCGGUGAAGGAUGAGCUCGCGGCCUAUCAGCUUGUUGGUGAGGUAAUAGCUCACCAAGGCGAUGACGGGUAGCCGGCCUGAGAGGGUGACCGGCCACACGUGGGACUGAGACACGGCCCAGACCUCCG